GCUUUCACUUUAAUAGAUCGUGCGGCUGCACACGCUUUGGGUCCAUGCAUUUCUCUAAUCGAGCUGUAACACUUGCUGCUGCGGUCCAUGGCUCCAUUCCUUGAAGCCCACGAGACCAGGAACCCUUGGAUUGAGAAAAAACCUUCAAUUGGGAGGAUACUUCUUAUCUCAUUUCUAGGGGCCCAUCCGGGAUUUCUCCACAGCACUCAAGCUGAGCUUUCACUCUCUGUCCACCACUGCUGUUUGCCACUGCCGCAGACACGCGCUGACUUCCAUCCCUUCGGAUCCGGCAGGGUGUCCUCUGUGCUCCUGAUCCAGUGAGGUGCCCAUUGCUGCUCCCGAUCCGACUAAAGGCUUGCCAUUGUUCCUGCAUGGCUAAGUGCCCAGGUGAGGGGAGCCAGUGGCAAACUGUAAGAUGUGCCACUGAGAUCCCCCUUCAAGUUCAGUUCUUCAGAGUCUGCUUCAGCUGCGUGAAGUGCUUUUACCCUAAGUCUCCCCAUCUUCUUCAGACCAGCCGGCAUACAGCAACUGAGCAGGGUAGGAGUAUAAGGGGUAGUUCAUUUGAGCCUGACAUGGGGCACUGAGAUAGGCAAUAGCAGCUUCAGAGCCAUUCUGAGUAGCGUGAUGAAACCUCAAACCAUCCCAUUCUGUCCUCCCUGAGACAUGAAUCAUCCCUUUGUCCAGCACAUAUAACCAUGUUGUCCACAUUACUGGCCUAUAAUUAGUUACUUAGUAGCCAGCUCGGUUAUCAGAAUGACUAUGGUGAUAUCGAUGUGCUUGUGCUUAAGUAAACCUUAUUUUACUUAACAAUAAUCCCAAAGCUCAAGACUAAUAAUACUGGCAUACUGUCAUAAUUUUUUAUUGUAUUAUUAGUUAUUGUUGUUAUCUCUACUGUUCCUAAUUUAUAAAUUAAGCUUUAUGAUAGAUAUGUAUAUACAGGAAGAAACAUAGUAUAUAUAGGAUAUGGUACGACCUGCAAUUCCAUGCACCCAUGGGGGGUCUUGGAAUAGAUCCACCGAGGAUAAGAGGGAACUACUGUAUUAAGUAAUGGGGCCACUCCUCUUUGCAUACGUUACAUUCCAAAUGCAUAUAUUCUUUCCACUAGAGCCACAGAGCCAUCAAAGAUCUUCUAUUAUCUAUAUGCUGCGUCCUAGAUGAUGAAACACAAUUCUCAGGAAGUAUUGGCUCCAAACUGGCAUUUUAGCUGUGCAGGCCUUUUCAGCACUCUCUCACACUGACAGCUUCUGGGUGGGUCAGUACGUCAUCUCAUGGUCAUAGGCCCACUUACUCUUCUCCUUUACCAUAAACUAAGUCUUGGUCUAAUGGAAUAAUAAUGUGUUUUGAUGCCAGUGGAACCAAAACUCUGCAAGUCCACAGAUAGUAAUGUUUACUGUUGCUUUACAGGUAAGAAUGGUACCCCCCUACUAAGAAAGUGUGUAUGGCAGGUAAACACUGAGCACACAUGGAUAUAAACACAGGGAUAAUAGACACUGCAGACUACUAGGGAAAGGAUGGAAGGAGAGAGACAUGGGAGAAAAACUACCUAUUGGGUGCUAUGCUCACUACGUGGGUCUAAUACACUAUGUAACAAUUCUACACAUGUACCCCCGUAUCUAAAAUAAAAGCUGUUUUUUUAAAAGAAAAAUUGCUGUAAAUAAUGGAAAGAAAAUGACAGGGCUAAUAUUUUGGGAAUCUUAGAAAAGAAUUAUAUUCAAAUUACAUAAGAAGAAAGACAGAGUCGGGUGCGGUGGCUCACGCCUGUAAUCCUAGCACUUUAGGAGGCCGAGGCAGACGGAUCACGAGGUCAGGAGCUCGAGACCAUCCUGGCUAACAAGGUGAAACCCCGUCUCUACUAAAAAUACAAAAAAAAAAUUAUCCGGGUAUGGUGGCGGGCGCCUGUAGUUCCAGCUACUCGAAAGGCUGAGGCUGGAGAAUGGCAUGAACCUGGGAGGCGGAGCUUGCAGUGAGCCGGGACCGUGCCACUGCACUCCAGCCUUGGCGACAGAGUGAGACUCCGUCUCAAAAAAAAGAAAAAAAAAAAGAAGAAAGACAGGAGUUAUUAUCUUAGUCUGUUUUGUACUUCUACAAAAAAAAUACCUGAAAUUGGGUAAUUGAUAAAGAAUAGAUUUUUUUUUUUUCUCACAGUUCUGGGGGCUGAGAAGUUUAAGUUCAAGGCACCAGCCAGUUUGAUGUCUAGUAAGGACCCCAUCUCUGCUUCUAAGAUGUAACCUCCAGAGGAAAGAAACACUGUUCUCCACAUGGCAGAACAGUGGAGCUAAAACUCAUUUCUUAAUGUCCUUUUCAAAAGUAUUUGAUCUACCCAUGUGGGCAGAUCCCUCCUGGCCUAAUCGCCUCAUAAAGGCCCACUUCUCAAUAUCAUUACACUGAUGAUUAAAUUUCAGCGUUAAGUUUUGAGAUAAAUAUUCAAACCAUGGCAGUUGUCUAUUUGAAUUUUACCUUCAAAAACUCCGUUCACUUAUAUUAUCAUGUGGAACACCAUACUUCUUUGAGUUUGCUUCUUCCUUUCUCUCUCUCUCCCUCUCUGGAUAUGCCUUCUCAGUGUCUCUUCAUUCAAUUUAUUCUGUCUGUUCUUUACAUGUGUCUAUUAUUGAGAGAUCAAUGACAGUUCAAGUUGCUUCUUAUUUUUAAUGCUUUUGUAUCUCAUUUUCAUGCCUUUAAUUAUUAUUGAUGGACUGAUAAUUUCCAGGUCUCUUCUGCCAGCUCAGAUAUCACUAAUCACAGCUGGAUUUAUAUAUACACUGCUUAUGAGACAUCAUUCAAAUCAUGCUGCUCAAAAGAUGACCCAAGAUCUUUUUAUUCUUAACUGGGGUGUGUGUGUGUGUGUGUGUGUGUGUGUGUGUACAUCUUUCUAUACACGACACUACUAUAGUUCACCCACACCCUAAGUCAGAGACAAGUUCAUUGACAUUGUCACAGGCCACAGCCAAUCAUGUCACAGCAACUCUUAGUGAAAUUGUACACUUUUGAGGCUGCUAGCCCAGAAUGUGAAGCCAGAAUCAUGCUGUUUUUAAGUAACUACGUGAUCUUGGGCAAUUUGUGCAAUUAUUCUAUCCCUUAAUUCCCACAUCUGCCAAAUUGAAAUUAAAGUAGAACUCAACACAAAGGUUUUUGUGUGGGUAAAAUACAUUGAGAUAUACACAGCGCCUUACUAUAUAAACACUGUAUGUGUCAGCUACUGUUGUGUUAAGAGUAUUAUGAUUGAUAACAUCUACUAAAUCUCUCUCUCGCCUUACUGCUAUUUCUCUAAUUCAGAAUUCUAUUAUUUUGCAAGUAUCACUGAAAAAGCUAACUUCUCUCUUCAGUGUUGCUGUUUCAUAAUCCUUUCUAUAUAUUACAGUGAUUUUACUAAAAUGGGAAUAGAAUUAAGUUGCUUCUUUAAAUAAAAUUCUUUAAUAAGAUUAUAUAAUAUAUUUUAUUAUAUGAUCAUUCUUGUUCCUCCUGACUAACCACCUUAUUAGGGAUUUUCUGGUUAUUUUAUCUUUCUACAUAAAAUUUGGAUUUGACUUGACAGUGAUUGCGGAAAACAUAUUUCUAUUUUGCCAUUAUUUUAUUACAUUUAUAGAUUAAUAUGGACUGAAUUGUCAUCAUUAUGAUGUUGUGUUUUUAUUCCAAGACAUUACAUGCUUAUAUAUUUGAUAACAACUUACUUUAAGUUCUCCAAUAGUAUACAAUUUUUCCCCUUAAAAAUCAUGCACAUUGAUUAUGAGGUCUGUUUCAAGUUUUUUGCUUUGCAAAAUAGGGUGUUUUCUAAUUAUAUAAUGUAUAUGUUAUGAACUAUUUAUUUUUAUUUUGUAUUCACCUACCUUAAUCAUUUGCCAUCAUGUUUAGAGUCAUUUUUUUCAGUCUUGGCUCCUGUAUACUGAAAGUGUUGAAUCGUAUCAUCUGUAAAUGAUGACAGUUUUGCCUCUUUAUUUCUUAUGCCUUGUCAAAUCUUAAUAGCUAGAUACAAGAAUAUUUGCUUCUAGCUAUAGCAGAUGAACUUGAAUAUAGCCAUCCGUCUUGCUAGACUAAUUAGUAAGGCUGGAUAAAAUAUGAAAGAUAAAGUGUUAGAGGGCACCUGAGAUCUCUACCAAGCAGCAGAGACUUGAGGAGGCAAGACUCCAGAAAGAAGGGAAGCACAUAAACAUAAAUUAGAUGUUCUGUUCAGAUUUUUGCUAUGACACAUUUGCCAGUUGAAAGAGGCAGAAGGAGGCAUCUAAAAAUCUUGAAAGUCAAACUGUCUAUGCAACAACAUUUUGGACCUGGUGUGCUAAAAAAUGAAUUCACAUCAGAUUGAAGAAAAGCACAGGGAGAUGUGAAUGAUAUGGGCUGCUGAAUAAGAUGUGUCUUCAACACAAUCUCCUAUUAGGGCAAAAUUCAAAUAAAAGAAAUAUAUUGAGAUUAUAUAGAAUUUUGAUGCUGACUGGCCAUGAAUUCCAGAGGACACAAUAAAAAAAUUUUCUGAGUGAGAGGAAUUGGAAGAUAAGGCUAUCUGGAUAGCUGUAUCAGGACAGACAUGGCUGAGAACAAAUAAUUGUCUGUAAUAGAACAUGCAAAUUCUUCCUUAGAAUGUAGUAAAGGGACUCCUUUAUUCAUAUGUGCUCCUGCCACAACUCUGAAUGCAUAGAUUCUUUUGACUUGACAUAAAUGCCACAGAUUUGUUUUUAUUUUAAUGAAGUCCAAUAACAGGAGAUCCACCAAUAACCUGGAGGUAGCAGGUAGCUAUUGAAAGGAAGUUUAUGAAAUUAUUAGAAAAUGAUUUAUUGAAACUUUCUAUUACCCAUCUCCUAGCAUUCAAUAUCUGCCCUCAUUAAACUCUACUAGUAAAUUUAAUAAUCACCUUUUGCACAAUCAAAUUUUUAUUAUUUUGGUUGUUAAGUGGGACAUAACACCAUGGUCCCAAAUUUUCUAUAUUUUAAAAUGCAUUUUCUUCAUUUAUACUUCAUACCAUUCUACCAAUUUUCCUAACUGGUUGAAUUCAUUGCUUUGAUUUCUGAUUAAUUUCUCAUAUUGUAUAAUCCUUGAGAGAAAAUACGUCCUUCACACUCAAAUUGUUUGUUUCCAGUGCCAUAUAGUUAAACCUUUCUUUUAUUCGGCAUGUAUUUCAACCUUCCUUGUCUCUCCAUUAACCACUGUCCUUUCUUCCCUUCACAAUUGGUAAAUGUUUUAUUUUGCAAAGAGGAUAGGCUAAUUAAUUUACUAAAUAUAAUAGUUUUAUGUAGGAAAAUACACUGAAAUUAGGAAUAUGUAUUCAAAAUGACAUAUAACAAACCCAUUUUUUUCCUUAUCAAUGUUAUCACCCAACAAUGUGGAACAAAAUGAUGUUACUCAAAGACUUCCCAUUUGUCAUGUUGCUUAAAGUCAUAGAUUCCAAGAACUUAACAACAUCGUCAAGCAAGGACUUACUGUACUUAAUAUACAAAUAGUUUUUUUAAUACCAAAAUGUCUCCUUCCUUUGCUGAAUGCUGAUUGCAUACAUUAAAUCUCCAGUUCCUCGAUGAAUGCAUAUUCUUUUAAAAAACAAGCUGUCAUAACCUAUUAUAAGAGCAUAGCAAAUUAGCAAUAUACGUUUACCUCCUUUGUGAUAGAUAAGUGAAGCAAGUUUUGAAACCAAGUUAAUAAUUCUGAAUAAAUCCACAAUUUUUUUUAAAAUGCUGAAAUUUUGUGUAAUAUUUUUCAAAGGUCUUUAGUGUAACAAAUUAGUGAGAUGAAAUGGUAAAAUGUGCCAAUUCGCUUCCUACCAUAGUUCACUUAUAUAUCACUUGCAUUUUAAUCCUUAUAGAUUUUAAUCCUUAUAGAUUUCUGAGAAGACCAUUAUCCUUAACAAACUAACACAAGAACAGAAAAUCAAAUACCACAUGUUCUCAUUUAUAAGUGGGUGCUAAAUGAUGAGAACAUAUAGACACAUAGAGGGGAACAACACACACAGAGGCCUUUCAGAGGAUGGAGGGUGGAAGGAGGGAGAGGAUCAGGAAAAAAUAACUAAUGGAUACUAGGCUUAAUACCUGGGUGAUAAAAUAAUCUGUACAACAAACCUCCAUGACACAAGUUUACCUGUGUAACAAACCUACACUUGUACCCCUGAACUUAAAAUAAAAGUUAAAAAAAGGAAAAUAAAUUUAAAAAGAAUAUUAUGUGGUCUGAACACUUAUUUCUGUUAAUCAAAUUUCUUUGUAAUCAUAUAAUUAUUUAGUACCACCCACUUGUACAACAUUUAUUGCAUACAUCAGUGUUUAUAAUCAUUUCUAACAAAUAAACUUUUUUAUUAAACAUUGGGUAGAAUUUUAUAUGUAUGAUUAUAAUUUAAUAUACUGCAUCAUAUAUACAUACGUAAGAUGCAAUAUAUCAAGUUGAUAUAAGCAGAGCUUAUCUGCCUGAAUUCAUUGUGGAGAUCAUGGUAUCCUAGAUCCUCAACUUCCAAUGAUAUCUGUUUACUCUUCAUUAGCCACCACUGUAAAAGAAACAAGAUUUAUUAACCACUUGAUGGCUUUCUAUUCUAGAAUAUAGUGACUGCAUUAUCGAAAUGCAUAUGGCAUGUCAUUUGGGAGAAUAACCUGGUAUAGAAGACAGUGUCCAAUACUCAGAUCAAAAGAAAUGAAUUUGCUUCCUGAUUGUGUCAAAAAUCAGUGGUAAUCUGUUAGCAAUUCACUUAAACUCUUUUAAGGCUUAAUGUAGUCAUACAACUAUGAAUGCAUUAUCAAGCGGAGUUCACAUCAUUUUCAGAAUUGUUGUUAUAUUAUUUUAUGAACCUCUGUGUUUUGAUUAUAUAGUUGGUAGCUAGCUGCUGCACUAAACUGUGAGAAAGAAAAUGACACCUAACAUCCUGAACUAGGUAAGGUUAUGUGUUACUACAAGCUGACUUGAUGCUCCCAGCUAGAGAACACUGUUCUCCUGGUGAACAUAAACAAUCUCACAGAGCAUAACAACAUCAGGUCACGUUGAAGGGAUGAUAAAGUGAGAUAAAACAAGGUCACCAUGUACCCCAUGAAGUACUCGAACAUCCUCCUCUCUCUGCUAAAAUGAAUUAUGGCUGCUUCUUUACCUAGUCUAUCCUUCCUGUAGAUAAGAUUUGUUGAGGUUCUCAAUUAUGAACUUGUCUGUCUUCCUGACAGCAUCCAAUCAUGAUCAAAGCCUGAAUCCUUGGACCCUCCCCUGAAUUACCGGACCAAAGCUCAAAUCCUGUAAUAGGUCUUUCUCUUACUGAGAGAGGCACUAUGGCUUUCUUUGCUGUGUGUUUUCCUUUCAUGCAAAGAGUCAUAAAUUCAACUUGUUCAACUAUCACUGUGUUCUUGGUGGCCUUUGUCUGGAGAUAUUUGACAACUGAAAUUUGUUCAAUUUAAGUAAUGCUGAUGCUUUGCAAUGAAUGCUAUUUGAAAUCUGUAUUAGCAGUUAUAUAACUUCUGCUCUAGCACUCUAUGUAUUUACUUCUAAAAUUAAUAAAAUUCUGACAUGUUUAUAAUAUUCUAUACUUACAUGUGUUUCUCCUUCAAGAUUUUAAUUUGUUAUGUUUCAUGGUAGUAUUUGUUUUAGUAAUGUACUUAUGUGAUAGUUAUUAUAUGUUUUAAAUCAUAUCUCAGUUGAGUUUUUCAUCCAUAGGCCACAUUAAUCAUUUUAAUAAGCCAUGCAGGUUAUAUCAAUUCAUUUUAAUAAAUAAUGUGAUUUAAUAGUUUACCUUAUUAGUAUAAACCUAACUCUAUUGAUCUUGAAAUGCCUAAAACAUGAUUUUUUUGUCUUUUCUUAAAGUUAUUACCAAUAAUAAAUCAUAUUGUUUUAAUUCUGAAAUAAGUAUUUGGAAACUAUUUCAAUUUUGAGACAGUGAAAUAUGUUAUUUUUGUGGUUGCAUAAUUUUAUUAUACAGAAUUAACUGACCAUAUUGGAUAGUUUCGAUCUAAUAUACUCCAGUAUGUCUUUUAUGCUAAGUAUUUAAAAUGAUAGAAAAUAUAUUUUGCUCACAUUGACAGAAUUAAAUUUGAGCAAUUUUCUCUUUCUCUUUGUUUAACUGAAGAUAAUUGGUGCAUCUACAAUAGAGGUCAUUGCUGUAUCUUUAACAUUUCAUCUAUAAUCCUUAUGAAAAGAUUGCAAUAUUUGCCUUCCUUAAUUAAGUAUUCAGUUUUGCAAUUUUUAAAUCACACCAAUAAUAAGCAUUUUUUAGGAAGAAUGGAGUAGAGAUUACAGAAUUAUUAGUUUUAUAAGCAAAGCAUAUGUGAGGUAAGUACUAUAUUAGGUCAUAUUUAUUUCCUUUUGACCUGAAAACUUAUUGAAUCUUCCUGAAGUUCUUAUUUUAGGUAAAAAUGGGACAAAACAAAACAAUGACAAGCAAAUUCUGUUCUAAAAAGCUUUAAAACUGAUAUCAAAAUUACUCAGCUAGUAACUUACAUGUUUGAGAAUACAAUAUUAUACACCCAUGUUCAUAGCAGCAUUUUUCAUAAUGCAAGAUGGUGGAAGUAGCCAUGUGUCCAUCCAUGGACGAAUGGAAAACAAAAUGUGUUAUAAAUAUAUAACAGAAUCUUUUUCAGACCCAAAAAGGGAGGAAAUUCUGAUACAUGCUACAACAUAGAUGAACUUUAUGUGCAUUAUGCUAAGUAAACUAAGACAGUCACAAAAAGACAUAUUGUAUAACUCCAGUUAUAGGGGGCACCUAGAGUUGUCCAACUCAUAGACAUAUUAAGUAAAAUGGUGACCAGGUGCUGAGGGAAGGGAGGAUUAGAGAGUUAUUACUUAAUGAGUAUAGAGCUUCAAUUUUUCAAGAUGAAAAGAGUUAGGAAGGUGAUGUUGAUGGUUGUACAAUAGUGUGAAUGUAUUUAAUACUACUUGACUGUACACCUAAAAAUUGUUCAAAUGGUAAGUUUUAUGUUAUAUAUGUAUUUUACCAAAAUUUAAAACAAACAAACAACUUCUCACAUAUGUUUAUACAAAUAAAGGGAUAACUCAGCCAAGCUAUUUAAUAACUUUGAUAAAUCUACACGGUUCUACGCAGAACUACUAUCUUUAGAGAUUAGAAGAAAAUAAAAAAAUAUCUCUCACAGUUUGCAAUCCACCUCGUCAUAGCCAAAAGCAAACUUCCUAAAGGGAAAAAAGUCUUUAUACAAUAAUUAAGGGUUUGUUUCAGUCAAGAAGAAGACAGAUCCACGCUUGUAACCUUAUGUGCUUUUCACAUUAUUUCAGAACAUUUUGUUAAAUGUAAAAUGCUGUAAUAUUUUAACAAAAAAAAAUCAAAGGAAGUUUUUUACAACAUUGUACACCUUAGAAAGUUCAUAAAUAUUGUAAUUUUCUUUAUUUCAUAUAAUAGUGACUACUCAUAUGGUUAUGAAUUUUCACUAGAACGUUUAGCAUAAGACAUUGUUGCAAACAUUUUCAAAAUAUAUCUUAGAAACUUGGGGGGAUGAUAAAAAUUUAAGAUGUUAAGGUGAAAGGGAAUUUAGGUAUUAUCUUUUUCAAAUAUGCUAUAGUUACAGGAGUGUUUGUCAACUAUAGAUGAAAUAUUGUAAGUCGGUGGAAAGUUUUAACCUUCCUUGGUAGUUGUCCAUUCUGUCUUUGGUCAAGUCCAUUUCCUAGAACAUUAUUUUUUUGUCCUAAAAUUUACCAACUAGUCAUUAGCUACAUAUCUAAAUUAACCAAAAGGGAUAUCAAAAAGGAGUGAGAAUACAUUUUAUAUCCCUUGUUUGCACAUAGGUGUUUUAUAAUUUCCCUCUUAUCCCUUUUGGUUAGUCAAUCCCGUCUAUGUGUUUUAGACAUUCCAAGACAAUUAUUGUGACUCAUUUUGGCUAUGCUUUUUCCCUUUUCAGUGUUUUUACAUUUGUCACAUCCUUGAUCCAAAAGAUUCACCCUCUCUUCCUAUCCCAGCUAACACUCUUCAAACUCUCUUCCACAACCUAUUAUUUAUUUUUAUCUUUACCUUUUCAUAAAUUAAUGUGUUACACCAUAAUCAUUCUUUAUGAAUACUUGUCUUGACCAUUUAAUUGAAGAUACCUUAGUUCAGGGACUUGUUAUAUUCACCUUUGCAGCCUCACUUCUAAGCAGAGUCAGCUGCCUAUUAGGUAAUCAAAGACCCCACUGAAUAAAUAAAUCGGGCUAGUUCUGCCCUCUGGAACUUCCAACUAUUACAUUUACUGAAUCUGAAAUAUCAGUUAUUAUUUUCUCCUUCCUUCUUUAUCUAUUUAGUGUUUAACAAAUACCUAUUGGGUAUCUGCUACAUAUUGAACAGAUAUACAGCAAAGACCCAGAAAAAAUAUGCCUGUCACAUGGAAAUUUUUGCAGUCAGUUAAGCAUAUCAUGUUCUCUUGAUUCUAAAGCACUGUUACGAAAUUUGAUGCACUUAAUAAACUUAAUAAUCACUUAUAUAUACAGGCAUAUCUCAUUUCAUUGUGCUUUGCUUUAUUGCACUUUGCAGAUAGUACAUUUCUUACAAAUUCAAGGUUUGUGGCAGCCCUGGUUCCAGCAAGGUAUCAGCACCGUUUUUCCAGCAGCAUGAACUCACUUUAUGUGUUUGUGGCAUAUUUUUCUAGUUCUCACAACACUUCUAACAUUUAAAUUAUUAUUAUAUAUGUUAUGAUUAUUUGGACUAGUGAUCCAUGACGUUACUAUUGCAAUUGUUUUUGUUUUUGGGGUACCACAAACCACAGCCAUAUAAAAUGAUGAACUUAAUCAAUAAAUGUUGUGUGUGUUCUGACUGCUCUACCAAUUGGCCAUUCCUCUAGCUCGCUCUCUCUCCUUAGGCCUCCUUAUUCCCUGAGACACAACAAUAACAAUUCAUAAUUCUCUAAGUGUUCAAGUGAAAAGAAGACUCACACAUCUCACAAAUCAAAUCAAAAGCUAGAAAUGAUUGAAGAUGAAGAUAUAUUGAAAGCCAAGAGAGUCUGAAAGCUAGGCCUUUCACAUAAGUGAGCCAAGUUGUAAAUACAAAGGAAAAGUUCUUGGAGGAAAUUAAAAUUGUUACUCCAGUGGAAAUACAAAUGAUAAUAAAUUAAAUCAGUCUUAAUGCUGAUAUAAUUUUUUUUUGUGGUCUGAACAGAAUAUCAAAUGAGCUACAACAUUUCCUGAAGCCAAAACCUAAUGUAGAACAAAGCCCUAAAUUUUCUCAAUUCUUUGAAGACUGACGGAGGUGAGGAAGCUGCAGAAAAAAAUUUUGAAGCUAGCAGAGGUUGGUUCACAAGGUUUUGGGAAAGAAGCCAUCUUAAUGACAUAAAAAUGUAACAUGAAGCAGCAAGGGUUGAUGUAGCAGCUGCAGGAAGCUAUCUAGAAAAUCCAGCUAAUGUAUGAAGGCAGCUACACUAAACACUGGAUUUUCAGUGUGGAUGAAACAAGUUUAUAUUGGAAGAAGAUGCCAUUUGGAUAGUCAUACUGUAUUAGUCCAUUCUCAUGCUGCUAUAAAGAAAUACCCAAGUCUGGGUAAUUUAUGAAGGAAAGAGUUUUAAUUGACUCACAGUUGUGCAUAGCUCGGGAAGCCUCAGGAAACUUACAAUCAUGACAGAAGACAAAGGGGAAGCAAGGCACCUUUUUCACAAGGUGGCAGGAAGAAGAAGUGCAGAGUGAGGGGGGAAAAAGCCCCUUAUAAAACCAUAAACUCUUCUGAGAACUCACUCACUAUCAUAAGAACAGCAUGGGGAAUCACACCCAUGAUCUAAUCACCUCCCACGAGGUCCUUCCCUCAACACGUGGGGAUUACAAUUCAGAUUAAAAUUUAAGAUGAGGUUUGGGUGGGGACACAGAGCCAGACCAUAUCACAUACCUAGAGAGGAAAAGUCAUGCCUGGCUUCAAAGCUUCAAAGGCAGUCUGACUCUAUUGUUAAAGACUAAUGCAGCUGGUUGGUGAUUUUAAGUUGAAGCCAAUGCUCGUUUCCCAUUCCAAGAAUCCUAGGGCCCUUAAGAAUUAUGCUAAAUGUACUUUGCCUGUGCUCUAUAAAUAAAACAACAAAUCCUGGAUGACAUCAUAUCUGUUUACAGCAUGAGUUACUGAAUAUUUUAUACCCACUAUUAAGACCUACUUCUCAGAACAAAAUAUUCUUUGCAAAAUAUUACUGCUCAUUAAAACAAUGCACCUGUCACCCAAGAGCUCUGAUGGAAAUGUACAAGAUUAAUGUUUUCAUGCCUGCUAAAACAAUAUCCAUUCUGCAGCCCCUAGAUCAAGGAUUAAUUUUGACUUUCAAGUCUUAUGAUUUUCAGAAAUAUAUUUUGUAAGGCUAUAGCUUCCAUAGACAAUGAUUCUUCUGAUGUAUCUGGGUAAAGUAAAUUGAAAAAAACUCUGUAAUAGAGUCAUCAUUCUAGAUACCAUUCAGAAUAUUCGUGAUUUAUGGGAGGAGGCUAAAAUAUCAACAUUAAUAGGAGUUUAUAAGAAGUUGAUUUCAAACCCCAUGGAUGAUUUUGAGGAAUUAAAAACUUCAGUAGAGGAACUAACUGCAGAUAUGAUGGAAAUAGCAAGAGAAGUAGAAGUGGAGCCUGAAGAUGAAAAUUGUUGCAAUCUCAUGAUAAACUUUAAUGAAUGAGAAGUUGCCUUACACAUGAGCAAAAAAAAAAAAAAGCAAUGUAUUAAGCAAUGUAUUGAGUUGGAACUUACUCCUGGUGAAGAUACUUGUAAUCUUCACCAGGAACCUGGUGAACGUUCUUGUAAUGACAACAAAGGACUUAGAAUACUAUAUAUUAGUUGAUUAAACAGCAGCAGGGUUUGAGAGGAUUGGCUAUAAUUUCAAAAGAAUUUCUACUAUAGGUAAAGUGCUAUCAAACAACAUUGAAUGCAAUAGAGAAAUUUUUCUUGAAAGGAAGAGUCAAAGAGGCAAACCUCAUCAUCUUGUUUUGAGAAAUUGCCACUGCCAUCUCAACCUUCAACAACCACUACCCUCAUCAGUCAGCAGACAUCAGUAUGAAGUCAAGAGCCUCCACCAGCAAAAAAUGUAUAACUCGCUGAAGGCUCAGAUGAGAGUUAUUUUAAAUUAAGUUAUGUACAUUGCUUUUUUAGACAUAAUGUUAUUGCACACUAUUGAUGGUAAGGUUAACUAACUGCCAUUAUAACUUAAAGAAAAUUUGAGGUUAAUUUUAUUCUGAGUGAAGUUUGGGGACUAACAGUCUUGGGAACAUAGACCCAGUGCAAACCAAGAGAGUACCCACAGUGGACUACACAAGACACAGUAUUUAUAGGUUAUAUUACAUAGAAGAUAGGAGAAGGGGGUAGUGAAACAAAGGUGAUAUUCUUACAGUUUUGAUUGGUGCUCAGUGAUGCAAGUAUAUAAGAUAAGCAAAUAUGUGGUGAAUGUAUACAGGGUAAACAAACAUGCAGGUGUCUUAGGGUCUGGAGAUGGAUGAUUGAUUCUAUCCUGACUGUGCUUGUCUGAUAGGCAAGGUUGUAAUCAGUACAUGCCAGUGAAAUAUUUGACAGACUCCAGCCAUACAGGUGAGAGUUCAGCUUUAGUUCAUAGGCCUCGUUUCUAUUACCCAUAUGUCCAAACUGCAACCAUCUCAGGUCACUUUACACAUUUUUCUUUCAGAUUUUCUGUUUCCUGACAACACUAUAUAGACAAUAGUAUAGCGUAAACACAGCUUUUAUAUAAACUGGGAAAUGAAAAAAAUUCAUGUUACUUGCUUUAUUGCAAUAUUUGCUUACUGUGGUUUUCUGGAACCAAACUUGCAAUAUCUUUGAGGUUUCUCUGUAAAUUGUUCAAAAAAAUACAUCUUUUUUCCAAACACUAAAGUGAAAAAAUAUAACUUUCUUUUAUAUUUGGGGAAGUGUAUAUUUAUAUAUAUCAUAGUAAAAAUAAUCAACAUGAUUGAUAUAAGAAAAGUAUUUGAACAAGUUCAUAAAGUUAUUUUUACAUGUAAAUUGAAAGAGAAAUGGUUAAUAAAGAUAAAUCACAUGUCAUUUAACUUAUAUGUACCAAAUUACCCAACUAAAAAUUCAUGUUUACAUUAAAUAUAUCACUAAGUAUGAAUAAAAAUGAAAGUAUACUAGAAAGUGUCCUUGCUACUUUCUCAUCUGUUGGUAUAGGUCAGCUAACAUCAGAAUGAUAAACAUAUAUGACAAUUUGGAGUCUAGGCAUGGAGAUAUAAAACAGAAGAGGUUAUUAUUAUGCUAGGCUAUAAUUAUUGUAGUAAUUGUUUUUGCUAGAAGCGUUUUUUCUCAUCAUGAUGGUGUUUUUGACAAAGCACCAGUAACAAUGGUCCAAUUAGUUAUACAAAGUGUGAAAAUGCAUUUGUGUGGGGAAAUGUGAUAUAGAAAUUGCAUAGAUUGCUCAGGAAGAUAUUAACUGAAUUUUGAGAUGUAAUCAUCUGGUGCUCAAAGUGUUCAGUGAAGUUGUCUUACAUGCUCUGAAGCAGAGCUAUCACAGAACACUCCAACUAUUACUUUCAAUUUAGACCAUCAGCUUCGGUCCAUUUACUGAGUGGUUAAAUCAGAGCAAUUGAUUCUUCUGAAUCUCUGCCAGUUAUAUCCAAUAUAGUUCAUCCAGGCCAUGUGCAUUCAGCUGAGUGUUAUUUUUGGACUUCCAUAAGAACUGUUCUAUCAUCAACUGAACAGACAUAGCUUCAGAAAGAGGUUCAUCAUGUGAAGAGCGGAGAUUGCACACCCAGGUCACAAGUGACCUUUCAUUAAAUUACAGACAAAAUCCUAUUCUAAAAAAGGCCAUUGAGGUAUGUGACACCUCAUAACAAGGUUAUUUUCCAUUCCUGUAUAACAUCCCACAGAAGCAUUAUUUGUGGAUGUGAAUAAUGUAUUUUCAGUAAUAAACGUUUCACAAGUCCCUAUCCAUUUAUAACUCACCUAUUUAAUAAUUAUCUCAUUUUCUCUAUAUUGCACAAGGGUGCCACAAAAUUAAUUAUAAUCUUUGUAUCUUGUUUAAUUAUGAUGAUAACCCAUGGUAUGUUUUAUGAAAGGGUUAAAAGGGGGUUACAUAUAUAAAAUAUGAUCUCUAAGAAAAUUUAGAUUGUAUGUAUCAUAGUAAUUAUUUUUUUGUUUAGAACUAGAUAGUAUUGGCUACAAAAAAAGUCAUUCUUCAAAAAGUACAAAUAAGUUAUUAUUUAAAUUUUCAUUCUAAUGACAGUUUAGUCAGUUGCACACACACACACGUAACAUAUAUGCAUUUACUGUAUUUAUCUAUAUGUAAAUAUAUUUUUUAAAGAGAUGAAAAAUAGUAAACACUAAAGAAACAUUUAUUGCUUACUAACUGUUAGUCAUUGGACUUAAUAUUUUAUUUUUUUUUAAUAUUUUAAUGCUUUAUUAGUAAAAUUUUGCAUAUAUUCAAGAGUGUGGAAAACAUAUAGAUAUAGAUAUACAUCUUAAUUAAUAAUUUAGUGAAUGACUAUAUAAAAACCCUCAACUACUUAGAUUUUGAAUCCCCUGUCUUGUACUGCAAUACUACUGUCAGGAGACAAUGCUUCAUAGUUAAUGUUUCUGAAACGUGAGGACUUUGUGAAGAAAGAUUAUACAAAGUCAUAUUAACCUGGUCUAGCAAAAAUACAAUAUCUGCAUCAUAACAACAGUGGGGCUACUUAUUAGUAAUUUUGUAAUAGUCUACUGUUAAUCCUGCUGUUUUUUAGAAAUUUGACUAGUAAAUUAAGUGGGGUCAUGAACCACUAUUGGAUUUUUAAAUCUUUAAUACUGACAUGAUUUCCUGCCACAACCCUGGGAUUAGAGAAUUAAAGAUGGUGCUACCCUUCUCACCAGCUCAUCACACACCUUUUGGUAAACAGAAUGUUCUCUGGGCCCUACCAUGAAAUAAAGUUCAUUGGCAGGAUUUCUGGCCUGACUUAGUAGCUCUAUGCCAUCAUUCCCCUUUUUAGUUUUUAGAAUUUUGCUGAACGUUAACAAAGAAAAAAUAAUCUUAUGAAUUAAAAGGGGGUUUUAUUAUAGAUCCUGCAACUAAUAAUAGAAUUAAUAGAAUAGCAACAAUAUAUAUGUGCAACUUUAUGUCAGUUAUUUUUAAAGCCUACAUGAAUGGAACACUUGUUGAAACAUAAUUUAUCAAUCCUGACAUAAGACUAUCUGAAUAGUUUUUAUCGGCAAAUAACAUAUUUCUGUUUUAAAUUCAGAUUAUCCAACAAAGAAAAUUCCAGGAAGAAACGGGCUAACUG
rnacentral:lncRNA from 1 species